AAACUUACCUGGCUGGGGAGUUCCUGCGAUCACUGAGGCAGGCAGGACUCCUGUGGCGAGGCUCCACCAUUGCACUUUCGGUUGGGGCUGACCCGCAGGGCGGUCCCGAACUGGGAUAGGCCCACAGCUAAAUUUUUGAGUGCGUGGGACGGCGUUCGCGCCUCCUCUUU
rfam:Globodera pallida, Lindley, WGS project CBXT01000000 data, contig: pathogens_Gpal_scaffold_46_contig_13